ensembl:lincRNA
CUCCCUGCGCCCGGUGCCCCUCAGAGCGCCAAUCACAGGCACGGCCCGGCCGCCCGCCCGCGCACCCCGCGAGCUCCUCGGGGCGAGCGCUGAGUCCGGCGUGACCGAGUCACGCGUUUCGCACAGUACCUCAGCCCUGAAACUUUCUGCACUUUCCUGUCACCCCAGGGACAGCCCGCUCCACUCCGCCCCAGCCUUCUCUGGACUGUUCCCAGGUGCUUCAGAAUAACAUUUCAAAAGCGCAGACCCAGGGGUGCACCCUGAAAUCCAGAUAGUGAGUUGGGAAGCACACUUUUUUCCGAAUACACUAACGGCGCUCGUUGCUUCACUGAACUUUAGUUUCCGUUACGUGCAUAUGCGCACACAGGCACUUUGCAAAAUGUUUCUCUUCGUGUCGGUCUAAGCCCAGAGGUUUUCCUCCAACUUUGGUGUGUAUCUUGAUCGGCUGGGAAUCUUGUUACAAUGCAGGUUCCAGUUCGCUAAGUGUGGCAGGCGGCGAGAAUUUUGACUUGCCUUUUACUACUGGUUCUGGGGAAAACUGCAAAUAAUCAGCCAUCACAGAGUGACCCUCAAGGAGAUUGUUCUUUCCACAGGGCAUGGGGCAGAUAUCAGUGUCUCUGGAGUAAGCUAAAGGCCCGCGUUUGCAGUCCAAGAAUGCAGAAGAAGAUGUGCUCUGAUUGGAUAAUGAAUUACAUGAUCCAGCUACUUCCAGCUCUGGAAGCUGUAGUUCCUGGGUACACCCUUUGGUCAGAUCUUCCAGCUGUUCUACAGUGAAUUUAUUUACUUGAGGGAAAGAUCAUUUCUAGGGGCAGGUGCCAGUUCACUGGAAUACAGGCAGAUUGGCCUUGCUCAAAGCCAGCUCCUUGAAAACUUCGCAGUUGAUCUAAGAGUUCAUUUGUUUGAUCUUGAAACUUUAAACUCUUGAUCCAACAAGUACCAAAAACUGCCCCUGAUAUGUCAUACAGAGAAGCGUCACCUUUCACCAUCACUGUUGGGAGGCAGAAAGUACCAAAAUCAGGAGGACUGGACGUGCCCCUGACCAUCAACAACCUUGCCAAAGCUGGAACCACUUUGCUACUUCACAGCUCUUCAGAAAGCAUUCUGGGAAUUAUGAACUGAAGAUAUAAACACGUUAGAUUUCAGUGGAGGGUGAUGUCCCCACGACUUCCCUUUCCUGAGAAUGGAGAAGUAUGUGGGUUUCUUCUUCUCUCCCCACUAAGUUUGUUCAAGUUCCUCUGGACAGUGUAAACGUACUUUCUUACUUUACAAAACACACUGAGGUAAGUUCCCAAUCCAUUCCAAAGACUACAGCUAUUGAAAAGACCUGCUUUAUGUGUUAGAAGCUGGAUUUGAGCUACUUGAUUCCAUCGCAACAUGUUUAUAUUAUAUACUGCUAAUAUUAUUUUAAUUUUGUUUAUCUUUAAUAUUUUUUAUUUUAUCCUCCCUUGUCUGUGAAGUUGAGGUGAGUCUGAAUUCAGCUUUGUCAAGUACAGACUAGUCUUUUAGAAACCAUCAUAAUGAGUUUGGCAUAGUGACACACAUCUGUAAUCUCAGCAUUCUAGGAGGCUGAGGCAGGAGGAUGGCAAAUGCAAGCCCAGCCUAGGCAACUAGCUUAGUGACUUAGUGAGACUCUAUCUCCAAACUUUAGAAAGAAAAUAUUUAAAAGGGAUGGGGAUAUAGCUCAGUGUAAAGGUCCUGUGUUUAAUCCUCAGUUUGAAAAAACAAAAUGAAAUCAGAGUUGUGAACUCAUUUGCUGUAUUUUGCAAUUUGACACAGAAUUUUGUCAGUAUGGUCUUCCUUGUGGUAUUUUUAUCAGAGGAAUGUCUGAUACUCGUAAUAAAGACAUUGUUUUUACACAAUUUCUGUAGAUUCCUAUAGGCAGUUGAGAAAUUCAAGCAGAAAUUUGAGCCAUGUGUAAAUAGAAACAAAAUAAAAGCCUAACUCAGAGUUUCAAAAUGAGAAAGGCAAUUUUUAAGCCCGUACCAAAUUAAAAAACAAUGAAAAUCAACUUGAAUCAAAGUUAAACAACUAGACAACUUUCUUUCCCCGGUUUUACAAACUCUGCACAUACACACAAACAACUGAACUGAAUCACAGUGUGGUUGAUUGAAGCCUACAUUUCUCAGUUGUGAUGAGG